rnacentral:rRNA from 1 species
UACGGAGGAUGCAAGCGUUAUCCGGAAUGAUUGGGCGUAAAGCGUCCGCAGGUGGCUAUGUAAGUCUGCUGUUAAAGAGUGAGGCUCAACCUCAUAAGAGCAGUGGAAACUACAUGGCUAGAGUGCGUUCGGGGCAGAGGGAAUUCCUGGUGUAGCGGUGAAAUGCGUAGAGAUCAGGAAGAACACCAGUGGCGAAGGCGCUCUGCUAGGCCGUAACUGACACUGAGGGACGAAAGCUAGGGGAGCGAAUGGG